GUUCAUGUCAGGAUGUGUUUUGGAGCUUAAUAUAGCAUUAGACAUGACCAACCUAUAACACCUGUGAAUCAUGACACAGAUGGACAGUCACUGGAGCUCGUUUUCUGUAGCCCAUGGCUGUUCUGUGUGCCUGGCAUUUUCACAAACAUUAGUUCUGGAAACUGGAUACUCCCUUCUUGGACAGUCUCAUAGAACAUACACAUGUAGACAGGGAUGAAUGAAAU